UACGUAGGCAGCAAGCGUUGUUCGGAAUUACUGGGCGUAAAGAGUGUGUAGGCGGUGCUCUAAGUCUGUUGCGAAAUCUCCCGGCUUAACCGGGAGGGUGCGGCGGAAACUGGAGUGCUUGAGGGUGGGAGGGGUAAGCGGAAUUCCUGGUGUAGCGGUGAAAUGCGUAGAUAUCAGGAGGAACACCUGUGGUGUAGACAGCUUACUGGACCACUUCUGACGCUGAGACACGAAAGCGUGGGUAGCAAACAGG
rnacentral:rRNA from 1 species